rnacentral:rRNA from 1 species
CCUACGGGUGGCAGCAGUGGGGAAUAUUGGACAAUGGGCGCAACCCUGACCCAGCAACGCCGCGUGAAGGAAGAAGUCCCUCGGGUUGUAAACUUCUUUUGUCAGGGACGAAGAAAGUGACGGUACCUGACGAAUAAGCCACGGCUAAAUACGUGCCAGCAGCCGCGGUAAUUCGUAGGUGGCAAGCGUUCUCCGGAUUUACUGGGUGGAAAGGGCGUGUAGGCGGGAAUGCAAGUCAGAUGUGAACUUCCAGGGCUCAACCCUGGAACUGCAUUUGAAACUGUCGUGCUUGAGUGAUGGAGGGGCAGGCGGAAUUCCGUGUGUAGCGGUGAAAUGCGUAGAUAUACGGAGGAACACCAGUGGCGAAGGCGGCCUGCUGGACAUUAACUGACGCUGAGGCGCGAAAGCGUGGGGAGCAAACAGGAUUAGAUACCCGGGUAGUC